UGCUUUAGCUGCUGGUCAUGUGGGUUGUAAGUUGGGAAAGUUGGUGUGUGGACAGACUGUGAGAGCCAGUUGGCUUAGACGGGCGUGUAGGGCUAGGGCGGCGGAAAGAUGAAAUACAACGACUGCGUCUUGUGGAUUACAUCUUUGCUCAUCUGCUUGUCGAUAAAAUCUACACACGAAGCGAGCGGAACGCGAAAGAGACGGUCACUAAAAUGGCAGACCGACUCAGCACUGCAGGUCCUGUCGGAGAUAUUUUCAGAUAUGAAGAGUUUUAAGGAGCAGGAGUUGAUGCCGUUCAUGAAAGUGCGGGUUUCAGGGACAAAGGCCAACAAGGAAGUGCAACAGCAUAUCAAGAAUCGCCUAAACCCAUUAGGAUGGACAAUAGAAGAGGACCAAUUUACAGAUUCUACUCCUCAAGGGACGAAAGAGUUUACCAAUAUUAUUGCUACAUUUAAUCCCAGUGCUGCAGAGAGACUUGUUCUUGCCUGUCAUUUUGACUCCAAGUAUUAUGAGAAGAUAGAAUUUAUUGGUGCUACAGAUUCAGCUGUUCCAUGUGCUAUAUUAUUGGACUUGGCAAAACAGCUUUCCUGUUUAUUUCACAAGGAACCGGCCAAGGAGUCUGCAAAAAAUUUAACCGUCCAGUUGGUAUUUUUUGAUGGGGAAGAAGCUUUCAAGGAAUGGUCAGCAACAGAUUCCAUCUACGGAGCCCGCCACCUUGCUCAGAUGUGGGCAGACAAACCAGACCCUGUAACUCCCUCACGCAAAUAUAUCAGUACCAUUACUGACUUCGUCCUGUUGGACCUUAUCGAAGCCACAGAUACCAGGUUUGCCAAUAUUGUUGUGGACACAUCAGAUCUGUAUACACAGCUAAAUAAAAUAGAGAAAAGUCUGGAGAAAAAGAACCUUCUUCGACGCCAGCAGCAGAACUCAAAUGGAUACCGACACCAGCUCUUCCCUUCUAUGUCGGCCAGGAAUGCCGGAGUGCAAGACGAUCAUGUGCCUUUCCAAGCAAAAGGUGUUUCCAUUCUCCAUCUAAUCUCGUACCCCUUCCCACAAGUCUGGCACACGAAAAGAGAUAACCUUGCAUCGCUGGACUUCACGCUAAUCGACGACUUCAAUCGCAUAUUCCGUAACUUUGUUGCCAGCUAUCUGCAGUACAAUGGACUUCAGGCCUCAGGAUGUAAAAAUGCCACAGACCGAGCAUCGUCAGAAGCUGAUGCUGAUUUCCAGACUGAUGGCGGUUGGUGGCAGCAAGUUGUCGACUAUCUUGAUGACAUCUAUGACUGAACUAACACCACUCCCCAACUAACACACUCCAUACUGUUCUCAUGCAUGAUGAUAUAGGGACUGCAGGAAUAUCCGGACUGGGAGAGUUCACCUGGAUUGUGUUCACCCAGAUCUUCAUUAAGGACUCCUAUAUCACCUAAUGCUAUAUUGAGGUUAGAACCUCAUUCUGGUUGUCCACAUGUUGCCAUGAUAUUUAAACAUCGGUGAGGUUCACAUGACUUUUGGAUGACCAUGCUGUACUGUUGUCAAUGGGGGUUGAGCUUAGCUGCAUGGUUGGAGGUUGUAGGUGAUGGCAAACUGGUUGCAGCGCGGUAGGCUCUCGGUGAUCAUGAUCUUGUUGCAGUGUGUUAUGAUUAUUGUGAUUCCACUUUGGUAAGGUUCCUGUGAUUGUGACCAGGUUGUGGUAGGCUGUUGGCUCUAACGACCUGGUUGCACUCUGUUAGGCUGUUGGCGAUAACGACCUGGUUGCACUCUGUUAAGCUGUUGGCGAUAACGACCUGGUUGCACUCUGUUAGACUGUUGGCGAUAACGACCUGGUUGCACUCUGUUAGGCUGUUGGCGAUAACGACCUGGUUGCACUGUGAUAGGCUGUUGGUGAUAGCGACCUGGUUGCACUGUAGUAGGCUGUUGACGAUAGCGAUCUGGUUGCACUGUAGUAGGCUGUUGGCAAUAGUGACAAGAGAGCAAAAUGCUAGGCCGAUGGUGAUGGCAACUCGCACUGGGGUAGGUUACUGGUGAUGGCUACACAUUUGCACAAGGGUAGGCUGUUGGUGAUGGCGAUCAUGCUUUACAGUGUUCAUUGAGUGUUGGCAACCAGACUGCAGGAUGGUGAUUGUUACUGACCAGAUUUACAGAGAGAUUCAAAUCUUUGGUUCAGUACUAUGUAUUAGGUGCUACUUUCUUUGAAUACAACAUAUCUGUGUGUCAUGGUUCUGACAUAUUGUUUACCAUCUUAUUUGUGCCUGUAUAUUUGUCGCUUGUGAA
rnacentral:misc_RNA from 1 species